GCCACCAUAGCUCAGCGGUAAGAGAACUGAUCUUGUAAACCAAGGGGUCCGUGAGUUCAAUCCUCGCACUGGUGGCU